AUUCAUUUGACGUUAGCUGCAGAAGAAGCACCGGCUAACUCCGUCGCCAGCAGCCGACGGUAAGUACGGAGGGUGCGAGCGUUAAUCGGAAUUACUGGGCGUAAAGCGCAUGCAGGUGGUUUGUUAAGUCAGAUGUGAAAGCCCGGGGCUCAACCUCGGAAUUGCAUUUGAAACUGGCAAACUAGAGUACUGUAGAGGGGGGUAGGAAUUUCAGGUGUAGCGGUGAAAUGCGUAGAGAUCUGAAGGAAUACCGGUGGCGAAGGCGGCCCCCUGGACAGAUACUGACACUCAGAUGCGAAAGCGUGGGGAGCAAACAGGAUUAGAUACCCUGGUAG
rnacentral:rRNA from 1 species